UGGGGAAUUUUGGACAAUGGGGGCAACCCUGAUCCAGCAAUGCCGCGUGUGUGAAGAAGGCCUUCGGGUUGUAAAGCACUUUUGUCCGGGAAGAAAUCGCACCUGAUAAUACCGGGUGUGGAUGACGGUACCGGAAGAAUAAGUACCGGCUAACUACGUGCCAGCAGCCGCGGUAAUACGUAGGGUCCAAGCGUUAAUCGGAAUUACUGGGCGUAAAGCGUGUGCAGGCGGUUGUGCAAGACCGAUGUGAAAUCCCCGGGCUUAACCUGGGAAUUGCAUUGGUGACUGCACGGCUAGAGUGUGUCAGAGGGGGGUAGAAUUCAACGUGUAGCAGUGAAAUGCGUAGAGAUGUGGAGGAAUACCGAUGGCGAAGGCAGCCCCCUGGGAUAACACUGACGCUCAUGCACGAAAGCGUGGGGAGCAAACAGG
rnacentral:rRNA from 1 species